rnacentral:rRNA from 1 species
UAUGCAACCUACCUCAAUCAGGGGGAUAGCCCGAAGAAAUUCGGAUUAACACCGCAUAAAAACACAGUACAGCAUUGUACAAUGUUCAAAUAUUUAUAGGAUUGAGAUGGGCAUGCGUGUCAUUAGCUAGUUGGCGGGGUAACGGCCCACCAAGGCGACGAUGACUAGGGGAUCUGAGAGGAUGACCCCCCACACUGGUACUGAGACACGGACCAGACUCCUACGGGAGGCAGCAGUAAGGAAUAUUGGUCAAUGGAGGGAACUCUGAACCAGCCAUGCCGCGUGCAGGAAGACAGCCCUCUGGGUCGUAAACUGCUUUUAUUCGGGAAUAAACCUACUUACGUGUAAGUAGCUGAAUGUACCGAAGGAAUAAGGAUCGGCUAACUCCGUGCCAGCAGCC